rnacentral:rRNA from 1 species
GCGGCAGAAGAAGCACCGGCUAACUCCGUGCCAGCAGCCGCGGUAAUACGAGGGUGCGAGCGUUAAUCGGAAUUACUGGGCGUAAAGCGCAUGCAGGCGGUCUGUUAAGCAAGAUGUGAAAGCCCCGGGCUUAACCUGGGAACCGCAUUUUGAACUGGCAGGCUAGAGUCUUGUAGAGGGGGGUAGGAAUUUCAGGUGUAGCGGUGAAAUAGCGUAGAGAUCUGAAGGAAUACCGGUGGCGAAGGCGGCCCCCUGGACAAAGACUGACGCUCAGAUGCGAAAGCGUGGGGAGCAAACAGGAUUAGAUACCCUGGUAG